rnacentral:rRNA from 1 species
AGAGUGAACGCUGGCGGUAGGCCUAACACAUGCAAGUCGAACGGCAGCACAGGAGAGCUUGCUCUCUGGGUGGCGAGUGGCGGACGGGUGAGGAAUACAUCGGAAUCUACCUUUUCGUGGGGGAUAACGUAGGGAAACUUACGCUAAUACCGCAUAAGACCUUCGGGUGAAAGCCGGGGACCUUCGGGCCUGGCGCGGAUAGAUGAGCCGAUGUCGGAUUAGCUUGUUGGCGGGUAAAAGCCCACCAAGGCGACGAUCCGUAGCUGGUCUGAGAGGAUGAUCAGCCACACUGGAACUGAGACACGGUCCAGACUCCUACGGGAGGCAGCAGUGGGAAUAUGGACAAUGGCGCAAGCCUGAUCCAGCCAUACCGCGUGGGUGAAGAAGGCCUUACGGUUGUAAAGCCCUUUUAGUUACGGUAAAGUAAAGUCCGUAGACCCGUAAUUUAAAGUACUUACGAAGUAA